rnacentral:rRNA from 1 species
GGGGAUUUUGGACAAUGGGGGCAACCCUGAUCCAGCCAUCCCGCGUGUGCGAUGAAGGCCUUCGGGUUGUAAAGCACUUUUGGCAGGGAAGAAACAGCCUGGGCUAAUAUCCCGGGCGACUGACGGUACCUGCAGAAUAAGCACCGGCUAACUACGUGCCAGCAGCCGCGGUAAUACGUAGGGUGCAAGCGUUAAUCGGAAUUACUGGGCGUAAAGCGUGCGCAGGCGGUUCGGAAAGAAAGGUGUGAAAUCCCAGGGCUUAACCUUGGAACUGCACGUUUAACUACCGGGCUAGAGUACGUCAGAGGGGGGUAGAAUUCCACGUGUAGCAGUGAAAUGCGUAGAGAUGUGGAGGAAUACCGAUGGCGAAGGCAGCCCCCUGGGAUGAUACUGACGCUCAUGCACGAAAGCGUGGGGAGCAAACA